rnacentral:rRNA from 1 species
AAUCAACGCUGGCGGCGUGCCUAACACAUGCAAGUCGAACGCGACUGGGGCUUCGGCCUCAGUUGAGUGGCGAACGGGUGAGUAACACGUGGGUGACCUACCUUCGAAUGGGGGAUAACGUCCCGAAAGGGACGCUAAUACCGCAUAACAUCCUGCCUUUGAACAGGCGGAGAUCAAAGCCGGGGAUCGCAAGACCUGGCGUUUGAAGAGGGGCCCGCGUCCGAUUAGCUAGUUGGCGGGGUAANGGCCCACCAAGGCGACGAUGGGUAGCCGGCCUGAGAGGGUGAACGGCCACACUGGAACUGAAACACGGUCCAGACUCCUACGGGAGGCAGCAGUGAGGAAUCUUGCGCAAUGGGGGAAACCCUGACGCAGCGACGCCGCGUGGAGGACGAAGGCCUUCGGUCGUAAC